AAGGUCGUUUCCAACCCAAACCAGUCUGUGAUUCUAUGAAGACGGAAAUGUUUCCAAGAGAUGUGACCCUACCCAAAAUAAAUGGUGAAACAGAAGCAGGAAGGGGGAACUGUGCAACGUAGGACAGCAAGAUGCGGUGGUUAGUCAUCCCCGGUUUGCAGAUUUCUUGAGCAUCCUUCAGAGCUGCAGGAGUGGUGUCCAGGAGGAGAGCAAAUGGUUGAGAUCCCAGAGAUUUACUUGAGAUGAUUUUUUAUUAUUUCAAAGCUGGUCUCUAAUUGAAGCUGUUUGAUCAUUCUACAGUCAAGACAGGGUGAAUUCACCAGCUUAAGAGAGGUUGGACAAACCACAUUGUGAGGAAACAUGUCUCCAGUGGUUGUAGGGUGGUGAAACCUGCACAGAGUCCCAUGUGUCUUUCUUGACUGGAGGCCUAGUUUGUAACUUGCUAAUGUUAGGCUCGAUGAAUCCUACCUCUAUUUUGUAUUCUUGGCUCUGCCAACAACUUGGUAGAGGAUCAUAUGACUGUCCUAUGUAACAUGUAUUACACAACAGUGCAGGAGAAGAAAGUGCCUUGUUUCAUCAAGGAGCAAAGUCGGAGUGGUAUCUACUACAUAUACUCAAAGGCAGGCAUGUACUGAUUUCCAUUGUGGGAAUAUUAGGCCGGAGUGCUUUGAGAUUCAUCAGUGUGGGAUGCUGGAUAACUUCAAUGUAUUACUCUUACAGCAUUACUAUCUCACCCUGCCUGACCUAAAGCACUCCUUGCUAAGUAGGACAUCACCUUGAGGAAGAUCUUACAGUUCCAGGGCUUUGUCAGCUCCACAGUGUUAUUUUCUUUAUUUCUUGAUUGACUUUCAGCACCUUGUAAUAUCGGGUCUAGUCUUACAUUAAAAAUGUGCUGUGUUGACAUUUUUUUACCCCAGGAGUGCCUGAAAGAGUUUUUGUGUCCUUUUGAUCGUCAUUUGUAUGUUUUUUUUCUCCUUUCCUCGUUCUUCAACAUUACCCACUGCUUACUCCAGCACUGACUUUAUUCUGGGAGAGCAACUGUGUGUUGACACAUUCUGUCCUGAAGGUGGGGAAAUUCGCAGUGUACGAUUCCAAGUACACAGCCCAUUACUGUGUAUUACAGAGAACUUCUCUCCUCUGCGCUGUGAAAACUUGUUCUACCAGUUUAAAAAUGUCAGAUGGGGAAACUGAGUCAUGGAGAGAAGAGUUCACCACUUAAGGAGGAUGGAAAGGGUGACACUGUGAUCCUGGUGGGCUGAACCCUGGCUGGGACACCUUUCCUCUGAAUUGGUACCUAUUCCUGAAAAUCUGAGGCAUGAAGGCAUAAUUGUCACACUCUGCUCACCUCUUCUAUCCGGCUUGCUGAUCCAGGCUCUUGGAAGGUCUUUUGGAAUCCCUUGUUCUCUCCAGGACCUCUUACCUAUCUACACAAACUCAUUUGGAUCUGUAAUUAAAACUCCCUAGGGAAGCCAAACUAGCCAGGCUUUCGCAAACAGUGCUCUGCUGAAUGGUCCAGGUCCCAAAACACCUCUGUAUAUCUUACAGGUGUAUUUCUUAAAGCAGAACAGGGUCUCCUCUUGCUUCCAAAGAUCUUCCUAGAGAUUGGUACCAAGCCACCUAUCUUGACAACUGGAUUGCAACUGUUCCUCCAACGUAAUCAGUGAGGAUGCAAAGACUCUUGGGGCUUCAAGAAAAGGGGGAGAAGAGACUUUAGACCCACGACUUGCAUGACUUCAAGAGCACUUUCUCACACAUGCUGUUCAGAGAGCAACCUCAUUAAACCAUUCCCUGAGGGAUAAUGCGGAGAAAACCAAGGAACUGGCCAAUCACAUUAACCAGGGAUUGCUUCAAGAUGUGAUCUGAUACUGCCCUCUGCUGACAGUUUGCUACAUAGUGCCAUCGGUUUAAAAUGAAGUAUGUUGUGUAGUAACGCAACAAGGAUUUCUGAAGAUCUGUAGUAAAUCUCCAUCAGACAGAGAUUUUCGGGGUUUAUUGCUUGAUUUUUUUAGUGUCCUUUCUCAAUGUUGUAAUUUACAUGCUACGUAUCAAGCAUUCCACAUCAGAGAUGAGCCCAGUCUAAGCUGUUGUGCAAGGCACUGAGUGUACACAUAGCGAGAGCCAAUUUUCCCCUGAGGGGGCCUGUGGUCUACAGAGACAAGAUAGAUAAAGGACAGUGAAAAAAAGGCAACGAUCAGCUCCAUUUCACAUAUAGGCCACUGAGCUACUGAAGGAUCUAUCUGAGCCCACAAAAGGCAGCUCUAUUGCCCUGCCUGGAAGCUGUAGUCAGAUGAAUUCAAACCAGAUAUAAGCUGCAAGUUCUGACUGCAAGAGAAAUGGAUCACACUGUUGGCACCUUCUUUUCCUUCUUCUUUUUCUGCACAAGGUUAGAUAAUUCCAUAGCACUUCAGACAAAUGUCUUAUAGGGGUAAGCAGGCCAAGAAGAAAUGACCUAUGAAGCAUCACUUUGUGUCUACACUGAGAAUGAUUUGGGGCCAGGAAGUGGAGAAGAGCACAGCAGGUUUGAAGACAGCACAAACAUUUGUUGUACCCAUGAAUAAGACUGAAAGACCAUGAGCCUAGAGAAGCAGCGUCCUCAAAGAUCUGAACUCAGUUGUCCAGAGCUCCAUACUUCCUCAGCUUCCACGGAUUUGAACUGUGAAGGAGCUUGGUCUUUUACAGGGAAAGCCAAGGAUAAGUUUCAGUUUAUCUUGAGAAGCAGACAACAGAAGAGUAUGUGCCCAUGUGCAGACAAACAAG